GAAAAUAUAUUUUCCACUCAUUUAAGUGGUAAUAAGCUAGAAUAUCAAGCAUGAAAGCCGAUGAAGUGUAUCAAUAAUUAAAGGAUAAUAUAAUAAUAAUGGGAAAAGCUAAACAGAGCUUCUGACAGUGGUAUUCCAAAGGCCAUUGAAUCUAUUACGAAGCUUUUCAACCUUGUUCUCUCGAGAUUCAAGGCAAAUUAAAUGACCUCCAGUUCGCGGUUUUCCGACGAAGCAACAGUAUGCUCAACAAUCACAAACUGCAAUGGUAAUUAAUUUUCAUUCAAGGUAUUAUUAGACUAUUUUAUGACAUAAUUAUUAUUCUUUUGACAUGGGUAUUCAAAUAUGAGAUUUCUAAUUUAAAAAAGAAGAGCUAGAUUUUUUAUUUUUAAAAGAAAAUUUUCAUCCGUAGAUUUAUGAUUUGAGACGUAGAACCUCGAGAUAUGCUCCAAUAUUUGAAAUCGGGUUGACAUUGGUAGAGAUUUUCUAUACCUUAAAUUUAAGAUUUGGAAGUCUAUUUAUUAUUGGAAUUUGGUAAAAUUGAUAUGGUUGAACUCGUAAUUGAAUGAGUUUUCAGAUUUUACAAGUUUUGUCGGAUUAGAGAUUUGGGCCCCACGGGCAAUUUUUGAGUUAAGUUUUGAAUAUGUUAGAAGAUUUGUAAUUUCAUAUGGAAUCAAUUCGUACAAUUUAUAUUGGGUAUAUUAAAUUAUUAUGACUAGAUUUGAAGCUUCAGACGAAUUCGCGAGGCAAAGGCUUGUUGGAAUUUUGAAUUUGGUUUCAAAGCGAGGUAAGUGUUUGAUCUAACUUUGGCUUGAGAGAAUAUGAUUAGAGUAUUGUUUGCUAAUUGCUAAAUGUUGAGUACGGUGUAUAGGCAUGGUGGCGAGUAUCUAUACACUGGAGUCUAGCAUGAACGUGAGUCUUUGUAUGUGAUUAUUCGGAUUCUGUGGUGACUCUUCCUUGUUAAUUAUAAAUUCCAUGUAAUGUGAAGAGUUUGAGAAGGAAUUAUGAUUUAUAUAUUCUUGGAGUGUUGGCUCGAAUGGUGAUAUGAUAAUGGAAUAAGGAUUGGACAAAAGAGAAAGAGAUGUAAUUAUCCCCUUGCCGGGACGUGUAAAUUAUUGUACUAUUGUUCACUUGUCGGAAUACUAUUGUUUUCCCUUAUCGAGAUAUUAUUGUUUGAUAUUAUUUUUUCUUCCUGGAAUUUGAUUGUUGUACUAUUGUUCCCUCACCGGGUGAAUCGCUAUGUUACCAAGUUCCGUUAUUGGGAUCCUCUCUAUAAAGACUUAUAUAUUAUGAAAUGAGAUUGUGUGGCACGCCAACCACUAUAUUAUAAAAUGGGAUCGUGUGGCACCCCGACCACUUAUAUAUUAUGAAAUGGGAUCGUGUGGCACCCCGACCACUUAUAUAUAUUAUGAAAUGGGAUCGUGUGACACGCGACCACUUAUAUAUUAUGAAAUGGGCUCUUGUGGUACGCCUACCAUGAGAUAGAUAAGUUGAAAGUGAAAUUUCGAUGUUUGAUUUUCUUAUCCUUGUCAGUGAUUGGAUUUUUGGUGUCGUGCACCUUCGAUUUACUAUGUUUAGUUGUUAUGUUCAAUUCAAAUAUUUUAACUGUUGAGAUUCGUUUAUUGUUAUGAUGAUUGUGUUAAAACAUACAUUGUUUCGAAUAUCUCAUCGCAUUUAUACAUAUAUAUAUAUAUGUAUAAACAUUCCAAUACUUCGAACAUCAAUAAUUAUUACAUCCUUAAUUCAAUUAGUUUCUCAACUAUAUCCCC
rnacentral:lncRNA from 1 species